rnacentral:rRNA from 1 species
UGACUGUAGACAACGACUGCCGCCAGUCAUAGCCAUGCAAGUCCUGAACGGUAGCAGCACGAUGCACAGUGGCGCAAGGGUGAGGAACGCGUGAGUAACCUGCCCUUAAGUUGGGAAUAGCUCCUGGAAACGGGAAUUAAUACCGAAUGUGAUCGUCGGGAGACAUCUUCUGAUGAUUAAAGGCCGCAAGGUCGCUUAAGGAGGGGCUCGCGUUCCAUUAGCUAGUUGGUGAGGUAACGGCCCACCAAGGCGAAGAUGGGUAGCUGGUCUGAGAGGACGAUCAGCCACACUGGGACUGAGAUACUGCCCAGACUCCUACGGGAGGCUGCAGUCGAGAAUUUUGGGCAAUGGGGGCAACCCUGACCCAGCAAUGCCGCGUGCGGGAUGAAGGUCUUCGGAUUGUAAACCGCUGUCAAGAGGGACGGAUACAAUUGACGGUACCUCUGGAGGAAGUCACGGCUAACUACGUGCCAGCAGCCGCGGUAAUACGUAGGUGACAAGCGUUGUUCGGAUUCAUUGGGCGUAAAGGGUCCGCAGGUGGUUUGAUAAGUCUGACGUGAAAUACCGGAGCUCAACUCCGGAACUGCGUUGGGGACUGUUGAACUGGAGUAUCGGAGAGGAAAUUGGAAUUCCAGGUGUAGCGGUGGAAUGCGUAGAUAUCUGGAAGAACAUCGACAGCGAAGGCAGAUUUCUGGACGAUAACUGACACUCAGGGACGAAAGCAUGGGGAGCAAACAGGAUUAGAUACCCUGGUAGUCCAUGCCCUAAACGUUGUAAACUUGAUAUGGGAAGAUUUACUCCAUUCCGUGUCGUCGCUA